UGGGGAAUAUUGGACAAUGGGCGAAAGCCUGAUCCAGCCAUGCCGCGUGUGUGAAGAAGGUCUUCGGAUUGUAAAGCACUUUAAGUUGGGAGGAAGGGCAGUAAGCGAAUACCUUGCUGUUUUGACGUUACCGACAGAAUAAGCACCGGCUAACUCUGUGCCAGCAGCCGCGGUAAUACAGAGGGUGCAAGCGUUAAUCGGAAUUACUGGGCGUAAAGCGCGCGUAGGUGGUUCGUUAAGUUGAAUGUGAAAGCCCCGGGCUCAACCUGGGAACUGCAUCCAAAACUGGCGGGCUAGAGUAGGGCAGAGGGUGGUGGAAUUUCCUGUGUAGCGGUGAAAUGCGUAGAUAUAGGAAGGAACACCAGUGGCGAAGGCGACCACCUGGGCUCAUACUGACACUGAGGUGCGAAAGAGUGGGGAGCAAACAG
rnacentral:rRNA from 1 species